GUGUGUGUUGCCGGUGAUUAUAUCAUGCUGUCUGAAACCUCGUGUGGAUUUCCUCAGCAUUCGUCACUACCCCUGAGGCAGCACCUCU
rnacentral:snoRNA from 1 species